CGCGUAGGCGGAUGACAUAGUCAGAUGUGAAAUUCCUGGGCUCAACCUGGGGACUGCAUUUGAUACGUGUUGUCUUGAGUGUGGAAGAGGGUCGUGGAAUUCCCAGUGUAGAGGUGAAAUUCGUAGAUAUUGGGAAGAACACCGGUGGCGAAGGCGGCGACCUGGCCCAUAACUGACGCUGAGGCGCGAAAGCGUGGGGAGCAAACAGGAUUAGAUACCCUGGUAGUCCACGCUGUAAACGAUGUGCGCUGGAUGUUGGGUGACCUAGUCACUCAGUGUCGUAGCUAACGCGAUAAGCGCACCGCCUGGGGAGUACGGCCGCAAGGUUGAA
rnacentral:rRNA from 1 species